GAUUCAGUAUAUACUAAGAAAAAAAUUUCAUCGGUUUGCACCCACACAGAAAUACAAAGUGUAAAAAUACUGUUUCAGUACUAGCUAUAGCAUUACUUCACAUUGGACAACCCAUUAAGGACAGAUCCCACAUGGGACAUCUGAGAAGAAUGCCUUUGGUAUUUUGAUUGGAAUUGCAUUGAAUCUGUAAAUUGCUUUUGGGAGAGUGGACAUUUUGAUGAUGUUGAUUCUUCCAAUACAUGAACAUGGAAGAUUCCUCCAUUUUUUGCUCUCUGCUGUGGCCUGGGAAAGCAGUAGAAGAUAGCCCAAGCCCUUGGGCCCCUGCAACCAUGUGGAAGACCUGGAAAAAGCUCCUGGCUCCUGGCUUCGGAUCGGCACAGCUCCAUUGUGGCCAUCUGGGGAGUGAACCAGCAGAUGGAAGACCUCUCUCUGUGUCUCUACCUCUCUCUGUAACUCUGCCUGUCAAAUAAAUAAAAAUAAACAAACAAAAAAAAGUAAAUGAUGUAUCUGACAGAAGACCAUUUGGUCUCCAGGUAUACAGAAAUGGGUUCUAAAAUUUCUAUAGACAACUGGUCUCAUACAAGAUGGCUGUGGGAUGGAGAUGGGUAUUCAGACCAUUUGAGCUGAAUUGUAUAUGAGCUGAAUGUAGGUUGCACCUCUGUCACUGUUUACUGAUCUUUAAGAUGAGUAUAGCAGUAAUACUAGUGAAAUGUCCUUACUGUGAGAUGUGUGCAGGCUGACUUGCACUGUGUUGCAAUUUAUGGGGUUUUUGGUGUAUCUUCUUUAAAUGAAGUUUCUGGUUUCCUGCACUGUAUAGCCUGCCCAGUGCUACUCACUUGAGGUUACAGAACUUAUACAAUACCUAGUUUCUGGGAACAUGGAUGUUUGGGUACUGGAGGACAGUCCCAUUUCCUUUGGAAGUGAGAAGUUGUUAUGGUAUUUGAAGAAGGGAGCACAACAAAUAGGAAUCUUUUCCAACAGAAUACAACUGAAUGCUCUCUGAGAUAACACCUUAAGGAUCAGAGCAGAGACAAGCGUCAUUAAAAAGUAAAGAUCCUAGUUGCAUGGUCCAAGCAAUUAUGGAUCAUACUGGCCAGAGUGAACAAGAUAUACUUGAUAUUACCUUACCUCAUCCAUUAGUUUUCAAGACUUGGUGGUAAUAGAAGUACUGGACCAGCAUUCAAAAGAGAGUUGUGAAUGGAUUAGAAAGACAGUGGACUUAAGGGUGCAGACUGGGGUUAGGGAUAACCUCUUCUAUCUGAGAGUCACUAUCUGCAUUGCUUCCUACCACAUGCCCGUUACUUCAUUCCAGUAUCAGCAUCUCUAGAAAUGGAGAUCUGUGAAACCUAGUCUGUCAUAUACUUG